UACGUAGGCAGCGAGCGUUGUUCGGAGUUACUGGGCGUAAAGGGUGUGUAGGCGGCCUAUUAAGUUUGGUGUGAAAUCUCCCGGCUCAACCGGGAGGGUGCGCCGAAAACUGGGAGGCUAGAGUGCGGGAUGGGAGAGUGGAAUUCCUGGUGUAGCGGUGAAAUGCGUAGAUAUCAGGAGGAACACCGGUGGUGCAGACGGCUCUCUGGACCGUAACUGACGCUGAGACACGAAAGCGUGGGGAGCGAACAGG
rnacentral:rRNA from 1 species